rnacentral:rRNA from 1 species
CCUACGGGAGGCAGCAGUGGGGAAUAUUGCACAAUGGGCGCAAGCCUGACGCAGCGACGCCGCGUGAGGGAUGAAGGUCUUCGGGUCGUACAGCUCUUUCAGCAGGGAAGAACGGUCAAUGUUCUAAUCAGCAGUCAAUUGACGGUACCUGCAAAGGAAGCACCGGCUAACUCCGUGCCAGCAGCCGCGGUAAUACGGAGGGUGCGAGCGUUAAUCGGAAUUACUGGGCGUAAAGCGCUCGUAGGCGGUAUGUCAAGUCAAGGGUGAAAUCCCCGGGCUCAACGGGGGAACUGCCUUUGAAACUGGCAGACUGGAGUGUUGGAGAGGAUAGUGGAAUUCCAGGUGUAGGAGUGAAAUCCGUAGAGAUCUGGAGGAACAUCAGUGGCGAAGGCGACUAUCUGGCACAUAACUGACGCUGAGGAGCGAAAGCGUGGGUAGCAAACAGGAUUAGAUACCCGAGUAGUC